rnacentral:rRNA from 1 species
CGAGGAAUAUUGGUCAAUGGGCGGAAGCCUGAACCAGCCAUGCCGCGUGCAGGACGACGGCCCUACGGGUUGUAAACUGCUUUUCCGGGGGAAGAAUAACCCCCCUGCGUGGGGGGAUGCCGGUACCCCGGGAAUAAGGAUCGGCUAACUCCGUGCCAGCAGCCGCGGUAAUACGGAGGAUCCUAGCGUUAUCCGGAUUUACUGGGUUUAAAGGGUGCGUAGGCGGACCCCUAAGUCCGCGGUGAAAGUCUGCGGCUCAACCGUAGGAUUGCCGUGGAUACUGGGGGUCUUGGAUUCGGUCGGGGCGGGCGGAAUGCGUGGUGUAGCGGUGAAAUGCGUAGAUAUCACGCAGAACGCCGAUAGCGAAGGCAGCUCGCCGGGCCGAUAUUGACGCUGAGGCACGAAAGCGUGGGGAUCGAACAG